GGGUGUGACCCAAGCCGAACUGGCCUUCGGUUGGCCCAUUGCCACCGUUGCUGGCCAAGCCUAUGUCCAUAUCAAAACCCAGACCCGGCCCCGUUUAACUAUCGGGUUCAAAUCCAGCGAACUAGCGCUCCGCUCGUCCAAAUUCGAGAUUUGGCCCCAAAUGGGCUACCCCACUUUUACCCCUUGAAAACCUUGAAUUCACUCCUUCAGCAAAGAGCCAUGGAUUCUCCAAAACACCAGUCUCAGGAUGGUGAUAGAAGGAGAGGAAGGUAAGGGCAAAAGCGUAAUUUUCAUCGAAGGCAGCUGGAAGUUGUUAGCAAGACCCAAUCAUUUGACAGAUGAAAGUUGAAGCUGAAAAAUGCUUAGCACAAAGUGAGAAGUUCAAAGAUGAGAAGGCAGAAUUUGAAUUUGUCAUCUAUGCAAAGAAUCUGACAUGAAGAUAUGGGGUCCACCUGAAUUGGCAUCAGGGUAUGAUCCUAAUUAUGCCGUGGAUGAUCUCCAACCAAAAUAGACCAGUUAUUCCGUUUAUACACUUGUGUUUAAAACCUUAAGAUUUAUGUCAUGCAUCUAUCCUAAACAUUGUAACUUAAAGGUCCCUGUUCUCGUACUCGUCAUGUAUGUGGUGAUCCAGACCGUCUAUCUGGUGGACCACACUGUUCAACAAAAAAUGUGCAGCAGUGGUUACACGGUGUAGGAACUUUCAGGAGGAAGUAUGUGCCAUCCAGCUAGAAAGAUUUUACGAAAGCGACAACAUUAUCUUGUUGCUUUUCAUGUGCUUUAUUCAUCAUUAUCUUUUGACUCCUUUUCUCCCACUUCAAGGAAAAUAGAAUAUAAGCCACAGUUUCGUCA